AGUUUUCUAAAAAUUUAAUAUAUCACUAAUGGCAGGAGGCACAUGCAAAACAUUUAAGUCCAUGGUUAAACUUUCCUGCAAUUCUCAUUGCUGAAUGGCGAUUAGUCAACCAAUCUGGACUUAGUGAAUAGUAGCAAUACUCAUAUUUCUUUUAGUGUCAAUACACAUACCAAAAUAGCAGACUAUAAAUGCAUUAAAGGGAACUGAGGAUGCAAUGUCUCAAAGAAUUUGGAAAUGGAAAACAUAAGAAGCUACUCUGGAAAAUUAAGAUUUUCUCAAGCUCUCAACAAUUUUGGAGAAGGCUGAGUAGGUUCCAAAGACUGAUGAUAUCACCCCUACUACAAUGAUCAUAAUACAAACUGCAGCCUGAAAUCUGGUUACUUUACCCCUUAAGAUGCUUAGAAAACAAGCACAAGGAAGUAUCAAGGUUACUAGCAUUGUCAACAAAGAUCCAAUCAAAGACAUCACCAGACCGAAAAAGGGAAUGGAUAGACCGACAAUCAAGGUGGAGAUCACCAGUGCUGUCCUGAUGCAGAUAGCAUAAAUGUGAGACUUCAGAUGGGUUGAUGGUAUCAAUUCUUCAAGACUCAUUGCCACUGGAGACAUGGUUAAUGCAUAUUUGGUAAAUGGAUUCACUACCGUAGUCCACACAGCAAUCUUUGUGGCUAUUAGAUCUUGAGGCAUGUUAAGAGUGAACUGAGACUCCGUUGAUUCUCCAAACAUAGUGUACCCCAUAACAGCAACUCCAGCAUACAUGACAGUACAGAUACCAAAGCUGAAGGAAUAUCAAAUCAAGCCAUAGUCCAUUAAUUGAAAAGCCUAUUAGCUAAAAAAUUUCAAAAUUUUGAGUUUCUUUGGGCAAGCAAGAUGGGGUUGUUAAGCAUAUUAAGUCUACCAUGCUAAGAGAACCAUAGGGAAUUUGUUAGGUUGUGCCAUGGAGGUAUAGAUAUUUGGGAAAACAGCAUGUCCUGAGUAACAAUAACCAUAGAGACCAAUAGCGACAGGAAGAGUCCCAAGGUUCAGUACAGUCCCUUUACUAUGAAUCCCAACUUGAUCAACCAAACCAACCCAGAAUAAGCAGAUGACCACCAAAACUGAUGCAAUAACUCCACCAGCAGAGAUAUAGCUAAGUAAACUGAGGUCUCGAAGCCAAACAGUUGGAAGAACAGCAAUGGUGGUCAGAAUAGCAAAGAAGUGGUGUGAAUUUAGCUCUAAUCCACCCAAACUUAAAUGUGCAUGCGGAAAUAAUGAGGACAAGUUAUCACUCUCCAAAAUUAUAUAUUCAACACAACAGGCAUAUAACUCCAUGUAUAAGAUCAUAGAGAUGGCAAUCCGACCAAUGGUGCCAAAUGCAGCUUGGCCAAUGUCAGGGUAAGUUUCAAUCUCUGGUUCACUAUCCAAACAUAAACGCAAGAGCAUCCCAGUGUAAAAGGAAAGCACUGCAAAUAUGAGCAAUAUAGAGAGCCCAAGCCAUCCUCCUUCUCUAGCAGCAUAAGGAGUGGACAAAAUCCCAACACCACAUAGAACAUUCAUGCCAUUAAUCACGGCUUGUCCAUAUGAGCUUUGGCGAGAAAUGGGAAGUUCAUGUGAAAUCUGGGUUGGUUUCUCAUCUUUUUUAAUCAAAGACUUUCUUGAGGGAAUUGGAGGAAGUAGAGAAUGAGAACUGCGCUUUUGUGGGGGUAACUGCUCAUCUUCUGCCUUUGAUAUAAGAGGUUUUGUCACAGAAGGCAGUGAUUCUGGGGUGUGUCUUCUUGUUAGGGAAGAAGAUAAAAAUGAACUGCUUAAUCUUGACAGUGUAGGUGUUCCCAGAAUAAUACUUGGAGAUGGUACACUACUAUAUAGGUCAAUAGACUGCCUGUAACUUUGAGGCCAAGAAGUGUUGUAAGAACCAGUUUUGCUCUGUUGAUGGUUAUCGGCUAAAGAGUCAUCGGAAUCUGAUUGAUUCCCGUCUUCUUCACCUUGUCCACCUCUGUUAAGUUCCUUCUCUUCAUCCUCCUCAUCACUAUCUAUGUAAAAACUCUGUUCAGAAGCAGAAUUCUUCAUUUUCUCUUCUUCUUCUUCUUCUUUCAACGAUGGCGGCAGCACCUUCCGCUCGAGAGGAGAGCGUCUACAUGGCCAAGCUCGCCGAGCAGGCCGAGCGCUACGAGGAGAUGGUCGAGUUUAUGGAGAAGGUGUCCGCCUCCGUCGACAGCGAGGAGCUUACUGUCGAGGAGCGGAACCUCCUCUCCGUUGCCUAUAAGAACGUCAUCGGAGCUCGGCGAGCCUCCUGGCGUAUUAUUUCCUCAAUUGAGCAGAAGGAGGAGAGCCGCGGCAACGAGGACCACGUUUCCAUUAUCCGGGACUAUAGGGCCAAGAUCGAGUCCGAGCUCUCCUCGAUCUGCGAUGGGAUCUUGAAGCUGCUUGACACGAGGUUGAUUCCCUCUGCUUCUCCUGGGGAUUCUAAGGUGUUUUACUUGAAGAUGAAGGGAGAUUACCAU
rnacentral:misc_RNA from 1 species